rnacentral:misc_RNA from 1 species
ACUUUGUUUCCUAUCUUAGCGGGGAAGAAGACGCUUUAUCUCCAGAUCUACAAGAUGUUGCGCGUUGCUGUAGUAGCGGCUCUGGUUGCGGUGUGCUUCGCCCGACUUCCCAAAUCCGAGUUGGACUCAGAAUGGCAACUGUACCUUAAGGCUCAUGGAAAGCAGUAUGGAGCGGAAGAGGAAGCUAGAAGGCGUGUGAUCUGGGAGGGUAACCUGGACUACAUUGAGAAGCACAACCUGGCCGCCGACCGCGGGGACUACAGCUUCUGGCUGGGAAUGAACGAGUAUGGAGACAUGACCAAUGAGGAGUUCCGUAGUACCAUGAACGGCUACAAGAUGAGGAACGGCACUAGCCGCGGAUCUCUUUACCUCCCUCCGUCAAACAUCGGGGAUCUUCCCGACACGGUCGACUGGAGACCCAAGGGAUACGUCACACCAAUCAAAAACCAGGGUCAAUGCGGGUCAUGCUGGUCUUUCUCAGCCACAGGGUCACUGGAAGGUCAAACUUUCAAGAAAACUGGCAAGCUGCCAUCUUUGUCCGAACAAAACUUGGUUGACUGCUCUCAAAAACAAGGUAACCAUGGUUGCCAAGGCGGUUUGAUGGAUGACGCUUUCCAGUACAUCAAGGACAACAACGGAAUCGACACCGAGUCGUCUUACCCUUAUGAGGCCAAGAACGGCAAAUGUCGUUUCAACGCCGCCAACGUAGGAGCCACAGAUAGUGGAUUCACAGAUAUCAAGAGCAAGAGUGAAUCAGAUCUUCAAAGCGCCGUUGCUACCGUCGGCCCCAUCGCUGUUGCCAUUGAUGCCAGUCACAUGAGCUUCCAGCUCUACAAGUCCGGGGUAUACCACGAGUUUUUCUGUAGCGAGACCCGAUUGGAUCACGGCGUGUUGGCGGUAGGAUACGGCACAGAGAGCGGCAAAGACUAUUGGCUGGUUAAGAAUAGGUAAUGACGUCAUCAAAUUAUUACAUAUAACAGCAAUACAAUUACCCCCCCCCCCCCCCAAAUCCAAAAAAAACAAACAGACAAACAAACAAACAAAUAAUACAGAAUGUUUAUCUUUUUAGCAAUUUCAACUUACUCAUUUGAUUAAAAAAUAAGAAUUGACUCUCCUUUUUAAUAUCCAUUCCUUUAAAAAAAAAACACCUUACGGAGAAAGAAUAUUUACUAUCGAAGAACAUCUGGCAUGUUUUAUAAAUUUGUUUAAUAUUUGUUUUUACAGCUGGGGAGAGAGCUGGGGACAAAAGGGGUACAUCAUGAUGUCCAGGAACAAGAGAAACAACUGUGGAAUUGCUACCUCUGCCAGCUACCCAACUGUGUAAACGUCAGCAAUGUAGAUUACCAAGGGACAUAAUUCUGCUCUAAAGGGAUAUAACUCGAAUAUAGGAAAAUAUAUUUUUGUAUUUUUUGUAUUGAUUUUGUAAGAAUGAAUUGAAAUAAAUUUAUUUUAAAACCAC